CCUACGGGGUGCAGCAGUGGGGAAUAUUGGACAAUGGGCGAAAGCCUGAUCCAGCCAUGCCGCGUGUGUGAAGAAGGCCUUCGGGUUGUAAAGCACUUUCAGUGGGGAAGAAAGCCUUGGGGCUAAUACCCUCGAGGAAGGACAUCACCCACAGAAGAAGCACCGGCUAACUCCGUGCCAGCAGCCGCGGUAAUACGGAGGGUGCGAGCGUUAAUCGGAAUUACUGGGCGUAAAGCGCGCGUAGGCGGUCUGAUAAGCCGGUUGUGAAAGCCCCGGGCUCAACCUGGGAACGGCAUCCGGAACUGUCAGGCUAGAGUGUAGGAGAGGAAGGUAGAAUUCCCGGUGUAGCGGUGAAAUGCGUAGAGAUCGGGAGGAAUACCAGUGGCGAAGGCGGCCUUCUGGACUGACACUGACGCUGAGGUGCGAAAGCGUGGGUAGCAAACAGGAUUAGAUACCCUAGUAGUC
rnacentral:rRNA from 1 species